rnacentral:rRNA from 1 species
AGAGUUUGAUCCUGGCUCAGGAUGAACGCUGGCGGCGUGCUUAACACAUGCAAGUCGAACGGACGGAAGGGGUUCGCUCCUUCCGUUAGUGGCGGACGGGUGAGUAACGCGUGAGCAAUCUGCCCGUAUCUGGGGAAUAACAGUUAGAAAUGACUGCUAAUACCGCAUAUGACCACGAAGAGGCAUCUCUUUGCGGUGAAAGAUUUUAUCGGAUACGGAUGAGCUCGCGUCCCAUUAGGUAGUUGGUGAGGUAACGGCCCACCAAGCCGACGAUGGGUAGCCGACCUGAGAGGGUGAUCGGCCACAUUGGAACUGAGACACGGUCCAAACUCCUACGGGAGGCAGCAGUGGGGAAUAUUGGGCAAUGGAGGCAACUCUGACCCAGCAACGCCGCGUGAGUGACGAAGGUCUUCGGAUUGUAAAACUCUUUAAGUGGGGACGAAGAAAGUGACUGUACCCACAGAAUAAGCCUCGGCUAACUACGUGCCAGCAGCCGCGGUAAUACGUAGGAGGCAAGCGUUAUCCGGAAUGACUGGGCGUAAAAGGGUGCGUAGGUGGGUUUGGUAAGUUAGUAGCGUAACUCCGGGGCUUUAACUUCGGAACUACUACUAAAACUGUCAGGCUUGAGUGCAGGAGAGGCAAAUGGAAUUCCUAGUGUAGCGGUGGGAAUGCGUAGAUAUUAGGAGGAACACCAGUGGCGAAGGCGAUUUUGCUGGACUGUUACUGACACUGGAGGCACGAAAAGCGUGGGGGAGCAAAACAGGAUUAGAUACCCUGGGUAGUCCACGCUGUAAACGAUU